AAAACAAUUUGUAAUGUGAGCUGCUGACAGAGAUACAGGAAACACAGAGCUGGAGCGGAGCAGAUCUCCUGUCGAAGAACAUCUCCAAAGCACCAUGAACCAUCUGACUAGGCAGUUCGUGAAGACGGAUAACCUGGACGGAAGUCAGUUCAAGAUCCAGCCUCCACACCAGACUUCUCACUCACAAGGAUUGCUGUCUACUAGAUAUUAUGUGUACUCUUCAGACUUAGGUUCAUGCAGAUAUUAUUCAGGGACAUGAACACUUGAAUACUGCAAAAAUAGAGAAACUACCUUAUUUAAGAAUUUUGUGUUAAUUGCGUGAACAUUAAACAAAUAUAUUUAUUUACUGUUUUUGUUUUGUAUUCCAAAGCACCUAAAAGCCAAUUCACACUGCCAUACUCCAACAGGGUGAACACACUGACCAAGCAAAACAAAUAAGCAUGUUUUUAUAGUUUUUGUGAAAGUGUGAACUGACAAUGCUGUAUGUUAGGUGUGAGAUUCAUUCAACUUGGUUUGCUGAUUAAACAUGA